CCUACGGGAGGCAGCAGUGGGGAAUAUUGGGCAAUGGAGGCAACUCUGACCCAGCAACGCCGCGUGAAUGAUGAAGGUCUUCGGAUUGUAAAGUUCUGUGAUGGGGGAUGAACACAAUGACGGUACCCCAAUAGCAAGCCACGGCUAACUACGUGCCAGCAGCCGCGGUAAUACGUAGGUGGCAAGCGUUAUCCGGAAUGACUGGGCGUAAAGGGUGCGUAGGUGGUUUAGUAAGUUGGCGGUGUAAUUCCGGGGCUCAACCUGUAGACUGCAGUUGAAACUGGCUUUCUUGAGUGAAGUAGAGGUUGGCGGAAUUCCGAGUGUAGCGGUGAAAUGCGUAGAUAUUCGGAGGAACACCGGUGGCGAAGGCGGCCAACUGGGCUUUAACUGACGCUGAGGCUCGAAAGUGUGGGGAGCAAACAGGAUUAGAUACCCCAGUAGUC
rnacentral:rRNA from 1 species